UGGCUCGAGAUGAAAAGACUGUGAAGAAGGAAGUGUAGCACGCGAGAAGGUGAUUUGAAUGAACUGAAGUACUGUGCUACUUAAACGCCCCAACAGAAAAGUCAGGAGAGUUCUGGAGAAGAGCGAGUGAGAGAGGAAACAGCAUCAUUCAAACAAGCAACAGGACACUUGGUUUUUAGGAUUUUUUUUCUCUUUUCCUUGCCUUUCAUCCCAAAUCCCGGACAAACAUUCAAAUAUGCCAAUGCACCCUCGGACGAUGUUGUCAGUGGAGAAUGGACUCCCCGCGUCUCCUUCACAAAGCGGCGCGACCCCAAGCGGGCAUCUUUCCGCGCCGCUUCCAGACCGAGGCUCGCCACCUGGUGCUGGCGAGGCGGCGGCGAAAACAUCAGAGAGCCCGGGAUUUACACAUCAAUCGAGCCGCGGGCCGGGCAGCCGGAGCGCUCCAGGAGACGCAGGCGCAGACGCAAGGAGGGCAUCCAAGCCGCAGCCAUGUCACCGCGGAGGUCCUGUGCAGCGGGUAGAGUCGGUGCCCACUCUGAGCGCGGCCAUUGAAAGGCCGGGCAACGACGUAACCAAGGAAGAGGGACGGACUGGGGGUGAACAGGGCUGCAGCAAGACUUGUGGGAAACUUCUAUUGGCGGUGGCCUUGGUGCUGUUCUCUCCCGUCAUAGCUGUAGGGGUGUGCAUGCAUGAUCUGAUAGUGUGCAAUGAUCACGAGGAACUUUAUACGUAAACGUAUCAUCAUUAUUGCUGUUCUUGUUGUACUUUUUACGAAUUUUCAGGACAUGACAGAUCGUACUCCGUAUCAAGAACAUUUGGGAGUUUGCCUACAUUGCGUUGCUUCUUCCGAGAGCAGAAUCUAACACUGUAAACAUUUCCCCUGAAAACAAUGACCUAUACUGCCCUCUGGAGGCCACAUUAUCAAAUUACAUAAUGACAGCUGCGCAAUGCGGUAUAAUUUUACAAAUGGAACGUUUCAAAAUGUAAAAAUGAAGUUUUUUGUUAGCGGCGAUGCACCUUAUACAUCAUUACGUAUUUCAGUAAUUUGUGCAAUUGUUCGAAAGAUACUUCCCAGUUAGGCCUACGCCUUUUGUCUUUCAGAAUGUAAUUUGAUCUUGUAUGUAUAAUAUAUUCAGUUAUCUCUUA